rnacentral:rRNA from 1 species
UGGGGAAUAUUGCACAAUGGGCGCAAGCCUGAUGCAGCCAUGCCGCGUGUAUGAAGAAGGCCUUCGGGUUGUAAAGUACUUUCAGCGGGGAGGAAGGCGAUAAGGUUAAUAACCUUGUCGAUUGACGUUACCCGCAGAAGAAGCACCGGCUAACUCCGUGCCAGCAGCCGCGGUAAUACGGAGGGUGCAAGCGUUAAUCGGAAUUACUGGGCGUAAAGCGCACGCAGGCGGUCUGUCAAGUCGGAUGUGAAAUCCCCGGGCUCAACCUGGGAACUGCAUUCGAAACUGGCAGGCUAGAGUCUUGUAGAGGGGGGUAGAAUUCCAGGUGUAGCGAUGAAAUGCGUAGAGAUCUGGAGGAAUACCGGUGGCGAAGGCGGCCCCCUGGACAAAGACUGACGCUCAGGUGCGAAAGCGUGGGGAGCAAACA